CAAGGCCAUGCCAGGCGCACAUUCGGGCAUUCGUCUCUCUCACUCUCUCCUUCUGUGGGGGGCUACUAUCUUAGUUCUAGGAAGAGACUGGGUCGGAGAGCUUGUGGAAGACGGAUGAGGGAGAGUGGACGAUGGGGAUUCAGGGAGAGACGGACUGGACUGGACUGGCUGCGGCGGAGUCCACCGGAGUUCCUUAUCCACCGUCUCUCUAAGAUGUGGUUGAGGUGAUGCCUGGUAGCUGACGAGAAGUGGGAACAGGUCAUGGUUAGAUCCGAUCGGACCUUCCCAUGUGCUCCUUAAAUUACUGAUGGAUUUCGUUUUGGAUCUUGCAUUUUGCUCAUCCGCUGACGAUGUUGAUGUCUACGUGGGGUUCCAGGUCCACAGAGGAGGAGGCUUUCCCGAGAGCAAGCGGCGAACAGCGGUCACCUUGCCCGCCGGACCUUCUGCUUCCGAGCGCCGCCUGUUGGAGAUAGGCUUGACGGUUACGGGGGAUUUCCGUAACGAUAGAGCGUUACAAUGUAACGCCUCUAUUGAAGCCUAUAAAUAGGCAUGUACCCCCCGAGUUGGGUGUGGAAUCAAGAGAGUUGCAUUUGAAUUGUUCCCGUUUUCUGAUUUCUCCGUCCAUCAGGGUGGCGGGCUCCUCCCGUCACCCUGCCCCUCUCUCUCUUUCCCCUUCUCGUUUUCUACACCGCCCUCGCUCGGCGGCUCCUGGGAUGUCCUCCGGCGGCCAACGGCCGAGGUCUUCCGGCGGGCAGAAGAGCCGGUCGCCUAGCUGUCUCUCGCGGAAGUCUGACUGGGCAUGAAGGGGCAAGCGCAUGUUUCCUAGC
rnacentral:lncRNA from 1 species